GAUGAACGCUGGCGGCGUGCCUAAUACAUGCAAGUCGAGCGAACGGACGAGAAGCUUGCUUCUCUGAUGUUAGCGGCGGACGGGUGAGUAACACGUGGAUAACCUACCUAUAAGACUGGGAUAACUUCGGGAAACCGGAGCUAAUACCGGAUAAUAUUUUGAACCGCAUGGUUCAAAAGUGAAAGACGGUCUUGCUGUCACUUAUAGAUGGAUCCGCGCUGCAUUAGCUAGUUGGUAAGGUAACGGCUUACCAAGGCAACGAUGCAUAGCCGACCUGAGAGGGUGAUCGGCCACACUGGAACUGAGACACGGUCCAGACUCCUACGGGAGGCAGCAGUAGGGAAUCUACCGCAAUGGGCGAAAGCCUGACGGAGCAACGCCGCGUGAGUGAUGAAGGUCUUCGGAUCGUAAAACUCUGUUAUUAGGGAAGAACAUAUGUGUAAGUAACUGUGCACAUCUUGACGGUACCUAAUCAGAAAGCCACGACUAACUACGUG
rnacentral:rRNA from 1 species